CGCAUUUCAAUCUGUAUCCUACACUCAGGCUUCACUCCAUUACACAGGGAAAUUUAGCUUCAUUGAUAUGAAGGGGCUAAUUACUACAUGAGACAUAAUUACAAGAUGGGAAAUGGAUUUAUAGAUGCUGUCAGUGGGAGGGGAAGCUGCUACGGCUGCACUGUGCUCCUACAGGGCUCAAAGCUCCCCAGAGUCUUGCCCUGGGAAUACUUGCCUUACCAGAGAGAUGUCUUCCUAGAGAGGUCAGUGGUGCUACAGAUUUCUGGACAUUAAAUCCAUGUUUCCCUCUGAAUUUGUUCCACCAACAGUGAUAUGCUCCACAGGGUCCCUCAACACAAUAAAAAUCACACUUAAGAAUGUAGUUAGUCUGAAAGGAAACAUAUGAUGAGAUGAUCUAUCUUAAAACUAGUGGAGAUUUCUGACUCCGCUGUCACCACGGCGACUGUGAGAAAGCUUGUGGCGAAGCUGGGGCAAAAAAAGGAAGCAGGUCCUGAAGUUAACCCUAGACUGUGCUUAUCUGUAAAAGAUGGAAUCAUGGAUAGCACCAAUUUUGAGCCGUUUCUUCAGGAGAGGACCAAGGGAGAGACUCAUCAAAUGGCCUUCCACAACCUUGCUUUGGAAGAUCCUGCUUGUCCCUACCAUGACCCCAGGCUCCAGCAGAAACAAUCCAGGCAGGACCCCCAAAGUGGGCCCCUUCCAAAGGAAUAAUAACAAUAUCAACUAUUCACCUGCAUUAUGUUAAACACUUUGUGUACUUUAACUCAUUUAAUCUUCAAAAGAACCUUUCAAAGUGGAUUAUUAUAAUCUCUAUUUUAAACAUUUGGUUCAGAGAGGUGAAACAGUUUGUUCAAUGUUACAAACCUUUGGAGACUAAUGACAGUGCAUCCAAUUUCUAUACCCCUGCCGCCAUUCCCUGUCACUUUUCAUCCUGUUCCUUAUGACCUGAUGGGAGCCCAAACCUUGCCAUGGGGACAUCCACAGUUACUUUCAACCCAGGCUUAGCCCUAAGGCUGUCUCCAGCCCAGCUGGACUUGCACCACAGAGCGGCUUUAUUCUCCAGCCUCUCUGUUCCUCCAUAACCAUUCUCUGAGAGAUGAGAUCAUCAUGAAGUUACUUUCUGCUGCUCCAGGCAUCUCCUGCAACUCCAGUGCCCUCAACACACUACAGUCUCCCAGUUCUAAUUAUCACCAGGCUGAGCGGGGCUUUGGAAAAAUCCCAAGGCAAAAGAUAACUAAAUUAAAAGCCAUGAUAGUAAAGACAUAUUAUCUCUCUGUAUAAAAAAAAAAAAUGCCCAAAGUUUACAAGUUUAAAAUAAAAACACUUAUUCUAUCACAGUUCCUAAGGGUCAGAAAUCUGAAUGUGGCUUAGCUGAGGGCUUCUGGUUCGAGUUCUUUCAUGAGGUUGUAGUCAAGCUGUUGUCCAGGCAUGUGGUCUCAUAGGCUUGACUAGAACUGGAGGCUCCAAUUCCAAGCUCGUGCACGUGGUUAUGAGACUAAAGACCUUAGUUUCUUGCCCUGACACGUGGGUCUCAUGGCAUCUUGCAACCCUCAUUGCAAGCGACCCAAGAGAAAGAGGAAGAGAGAGUGCACAUAAGGUGCAAAACAGUCUUUUUAUACCCUAACCUCGAAAGUGCCCUCAUAUCACUUCUGCUGGAUUAUUUGCUAGAAAUGAAUCACUAGUCACUCAAAGAGAGGAAAUUACACCAGGGCAUGGACACGAGGCGAUAGCAAACACUGGUGGCCAUCUGUGAGGUGCACUGGACAGAAUCAGUUACUGCCACCAGCCCCCAUAAAAUCAUACACACUGGGACUUCUCAGUGGUCCAGUGGUUAAAAAUCUGUCUUGCAAUGCAGGAGACAUGAGUUCGAUUCCUGUUCAGGAAACUAAGAGGGGCAUGCCGAGGAGCAGCUAAGCCAAUACACAACUACUGAGUCCACGCUUGGCGUGCCUUCAAAUAAGACCACAUCCCUGGCUAACAGCUUGACUGCAAUCUCAUGAGAGAAAGCCCACACCACAAUGAUGACUCAGCACAACAGAAAAAGCCCAUACACGCUAACUUUGUUCUCUUCCUGAAGUUUAAUUUCCUUCUGGGCAAUAACUCUUACUAUAUCUCCUGAUUGAUUUUUGGAGUCCCUUACCAACAGGAUAGUAUAAUAGUUGACAUCCAUCAGUUGCUUGAAGAAGCGAAGUGAAGUUGCUCACUUGUGUCCGACUCUUUGCAACCCCAUGGACUGUAGUCUACCAGGCUCCUCAGUCCAUGAGAUUUUUCCAGGCAAGAGUACUGGAGUGGGUUGCCAUUUCCUUCUCCAGGGGAUCUUCCUGACCCAGGGAUCGAACCUGGGUCUCCCGCAUUGUAGGCAGACACUUUACCGUCUGAGCUAGUUCCUUAGCCCCUUCUAAAUGCUGGGUCAAACACCUCACUAAACUUGAAAGAUGCAGAAACUGAAGCUUAGAGAGGAAAAGUAACUUGCCCAAGAUCUCAUAGCUAAUAACAAGCAGGGGUGUGAUUUAAAGCCAAACCAUCUGACUCCAGAACCUGGUUCUCUUUAGCAUGUUGACGUGUGCACACUCCUGGUUUCUGUCUCAGCUGUGUCCCAUUUUGCAACGACCAUGACUCUUAUGACUUGGGAGUGGUGGCAAAUGCUUUGGACAAAAGGAAAAUCUGUUUCAUUUUAGGGAUUCUCUCCACCUGCUGUGUAAAUUGGAGGGAAGACAUUACUGGGGAGUAGAUAAGUGGGUGCCUAAACUAGCAGGAAGUUCCACAAAAAUUCUAAGUAUAAAAACAAAUUGAAGAUGGAAAAGGAAAUAGUCUGUCAAGAUCCCUUGCUCCUUCACUUCACUCCUAGCCAGCUGUGGUCAGGCUGGCUCACCUGUCUCCUGGGCUCCUGAACUAUGCUUCCUACAAGCUAGAUGUACUUGAGAUUCCCAGAGCCAAUGCUGAACAAAUUGAUGGAUUGCUCCCUACUAUCUCAGACACCUUGCAAAAAGCUUUACCUACACUGAGUCAUUUAAUUCCUACAUAUUUUUCUGCUCAUGUGCACACAUCAUCUUGAGGUGGCUCACUGGGAAUAAUCACUGUAACAAGGGCAACAGGGCUCCUGGAAUGACCUUGGUAAAAGCUAGAGGGUCUCAUUCUUCUCCCCCAGAGAACACACACAAGAUUGACCACAAGGCAAAAGAGGACAAAUGGGUCAGGGAAAAUCCAUCUUGGACCUCAUUCAAGUAAACUCAGGCAUAUAGUGAGCUGAGGCCACAGUCACAUGACUGGCAAGGAGCUGGCAGAAUGUGAGCAGGCAGGGACCAAGCUGAGGGAGCUGAAUCCCUGGAGCAUUCCCUGGAACAACCACGUGGCUGGCUGGAUGCAAAAUGAUCAGCUCAUGCUCAUGGUGGUUUAGCUGGUGCAGGCAUCAAAUCUUCCCAAUCUACAGAUGAGAUCAUGGCGGAAGGAAUCCAAGUGGGUUCAGCCUUCUUGGCUUCAGAUAACUGGUCUCUUCACAGCAAAACUCAAGCCAGAAGGACCAAGUAUCUCUUUUUACUAUGCCAGAAGAGCAAAAGAGUUGCUAAUAAUUAAAUAAGGUGUUAGGACCUCAGUCACUUAAGCUGGAUUUAGGGCAGUGCUUGAAUUCCCACAGAGAGCUAGAGUCCUCUGUGGGCCCCCCAGGCAGAAGCCUAAUCAUCAGAAUGGUACCAGCAUAGUGGGGUUGGGAGUGG
rnacentral:lncRNA from 1 species